GAUGAACGCUAGCUACAGGCUUAACACAUGCAAGUCGAGGGGAAACGGGAUUGAAUGCUGGCACUCUUUGUAUGUCCACCGGCGCACGGGCGAAUAACGCAUAUCCCAUCUUCCCAUUACUGUGAUAUAACCUGCCAAAAGGCACAGUAAUACCGCAUACUCUUCCAUGACCGUGUCCGAUUUGAAAUAUAUAUUUAUCUGUAAUGGAUGGGGAUGCCUCUGAUUAUCUUGGUGGAGGGAUAACCUCCCCCCAGGGCCACUAUCAAUAGGAGCUCAGAGAGGAAUGCCCCCCACAUUGAAACUGACACACAGCCCACACUCCUACGAGAGGCAGCAGAGAAGAAUAGUGCUCAGUGCAAGAAACUCAGACCCACCCAACUAGCGAGCAAGAAGACUGCCCUAUAGUGUGUACACUGCUUAUGCAUGAAGAUAAAGUUAGGCACGUGUCGCUAUUUGCGUGCACCAUAAAAAUAAAGACCGGAUAAUUCCGUGCCAACACCCGCGAAAAUACAGAAUGUCCACGCGAUAUCCAGAUUUAGUGUUUAUAAAGGGAGCGUAGCUGCAGAUUAACUGUGUUGUGAAAUGUGAACGCUCAACGUCUGACUUGCCGCGCAUACUGGUUUCCUUGAGUACACACAACGUUGGCGGAAUUCGUCGUGUAGCGGUGAAAUGCUUAGAUAUGACGAAGAACUCCGAUUGCGAAGGCAGCUGACGGGAGCGCAACUGACGCUGAAGCUCGAAGGUGCGGGUAUCAAACAGGAUUAGAUACCCUGGUAGUCCGCACAGUAAACGAUGGAUGCCCGCUGUUGGCACCUGGUCUCAGCUUCUAAGCGAAAGCAUUAAGCAUCCCACCUGGGGAGUACGCCGGCAACGGUGAAACUCAAAGGAAUUGACGGGGGCCCGCACAAGCGGAGGAACAUGUGGUUUAAUUCGAUGAUACGCGAGGAACCUUACCCGGGCUUGAAAUGCAGAGGAAGGAUUUAGAGAUAAUGACGCCCUUCGGGGUGUCUGCGAAGGUGCUGCAUGGUUGUCGUCAGCUCGUGCCGUGAGGUGUCGGCUUAAGUGCCAUAACGAGCGCAACCCCUCUCUUCAGUUGCCAUCAGGUAGUGCUGGGCACUCUGGAGACACUGCCGCCGUAAGGUGUGAGGAAGGUGGGGAUGACGUCAAAUCAGCACGGCCCUUACGUCCGGGGCUACACACGUGUUACAAUGGCCGGUACAGAGGGAUGGUGUAAUGCAACUGGCAUCAAAUCUCCAAAGCCGGUCCCAGUUCGGAUUGGGGUCUGCAACCCGACCCCGCGAAGCUGGAUUCGCUAGUAAUCGCGCAUCAGCCAUGGCGCGGUGAAUACGUUCCCGGGCCU
rnacentral:rRNA from 1 species